GAAUGACAUCUGGGAACAGCUGGAGGGGGAGGGCGGGCUCUCCCCGCAGCCCCCGCCGUCCCGUCGCCACGCCCCCGUGACACCUGCAGCCCUCAGCCCAGUCCAGGGCUGGUGGGCAGGUGCUAGGCCAGGGCCCGGCGCAGGUGCUAAGUCAGGGCCCGGUGGGCAGGUGCUGGGUCAGGGCCUGGCGCAGGUGCUAGGCCAGGGCCCGGCGGGCAGUUGCUGGGUCAAGGCCCGGUGCAGGUGCUAGGUCACGGCCUGGCAGGAUUGGCUGAGCACCCCAGGUGAGAUGCGGGCACCGAGGACGCAUGCAGGAUGAUAACAAAGAACACCUGCUUUGCAGAAUCAUGGUGGACGUGCUAUUCCUGAGUCACGACUUAACACACGGGACGCGUGGCCCGUAAGAGACGCACAGCAGUGCCGUAUAUCCGUCCCUUUGUUGAUUACGCUGAAAUGUGUGCUACCGGGGUUUCUAAAUAACAGCUUUUGUGCAACGCGUAGGGAGGGGAGGACUUGAGCUGCACUGGGGAAAUUGCUCUGUGAGGAAGGGACAGACUCAAGUCAUCAACUAAGCCCUUCCAGGCUUUGUUCAUUUUUGAGCGCCUGCCACGGGCCAAGAUUGUGCAAGACACAGGGUGAAGAGAUGAAUAAAACCUCUAACUUAGACGUCGUCAUAGGCGCGCGAAGGGAGCGAAGCUUUCCAGAAGUCCCUGGCACACAGCAGAUUUGGGGACAUCAGAGCCUGUUGGGGUCCUGCUCAAUGUAUGUCGUGGUGCCCCUGCAGCACGCAGGCGUCUCGGUGCCCAGCACAUGGAGUGGUGUCCGUGGAAUGGGCGACCGUUGAAUGCGGGGACCAGGCCGCCAUUGGCACCUUGAACGGCUCAUCGUGACAGGUGCCCCAAGAAUUUCUGGAGAGGCUGUCUCAACUAGAAGCCUGGUGCUCUGCCCCUCCUCCCAUAAUUUCCAUGCCGGGACGUUGGUCCCCAAUAUGCAUUCAUUGAAGAUUUAUACAAGCGGACGGCUGAGAUGAUUUGAGGCAGCUUUCAGAUUAAAAAAGUAAAAAUCAUGGCAUUGAAGAGUAAAGCAAGAACUGACUUCAUCUAAAGAAAACAAAGAGUUGCUACUUUCAGGCACCUGAGCUGGUCAGAACGCAUGGAGGUAAUAAGAGCUCCACUGAAUGCCCACUAUGUAGCAGACCCUGUAGGUGGCACUGGUGAAGAUCGCCUGCAAGAGCUGACACCUGGACUGAGUUCUGAAGGACAAACAGGAGGAUGCCAGACACAGCAGGAGGCGAGCACUCCAGGCCAGGGAGCCACAGCCACAAAGGCCCAAAGCACAGGAAAGAGAAAGCACGCCCUUCUCAAGAGCACAAGGGCAUCUGAAAGGCUAGAGCAUGAGCACCCAGGUGGAGCCUGGCGCGCAGAGAAGCACUGGAGAUGGGGACAGUGAACCGUCCUAACCCCCAGGACCUCAGAACGGGACCCUAUUUGGGCACAGGGCUUUGAAGAGGCGAUCAAGUCCAGAUGAGAUCAGGCCCUAAUGCAAUGACUGGCGUCCUUCUAAGAAGAGGCGAUGUGGCCACAGACGUGCACGGAGGGCGAUGUGAAGGGACACGGAGGAGGCCGUGGACCAGCCAAGGCGGGAGGCCUCAGAAGGAGCCACGUGUCCAUCAAGGUGUGGACACCUCGGUCUCCGACGUCGGGCCUCCAGGACGAGGAGAAAAUGAAUUUCUGUUGUUUAAGCCGCACCGUGCAGUACUUCGUCACGGCAGCCCCGGCGAACCCACACACCUUGUGUUUCCCGCGGCCUAAGACUCAAAAGCAAACGCCUCACCACCCCCUGUGCCUCCUGGUGAUCUGGUUCCUCUGCUCCCCUCUUCCCUCAUCUCCUGGGUGCCCCCUCUUGAUGCAGCCCCAUACUCUGUCUCCUGUCCGUGUCCCUUUUCAGAGCCCUGCUCAUGACCCCUGUACCGAAAACCCCUUUCCCACCUCUCUGCAGGGCUGUGUUGCUUCAUCCAGAUCCCCGCCCCAAGAGGCCUGCCCAGACCGCCUGUUUAGGUUACAUUGCCCCCCUGCCCCCCCCCCCCGCCCCAUAUUCUUUCUCAGAGCACCGUGAACUUUUCCUUCAGCGCGUCCUUAGUUAGUAACGUUAUAUGCAUUUAUCUGUCACCUGCCUUCAUCAGGCCGGGGACUGUUCAUCUGGGUGUAUGUUCCUUAUCCAGCGCGGCGUCCAGUGUGUAAUCAUGCUUACUAAA